CCUACGGGAGGCAGCAGUGAGGAAUAUUGGUCAAUGGACGAGAGUCUGAACCAGCCAAGUAGCGUGAAGGAUGACUGCCCUAUGGGUUGUAAACUUCUUUUAUAAAGGAAUAAAACGAGGCACGUGUGCCUUUUUGCAUGUACUUUAUGAAUAAGGAUCGGCUAACCCCGUGCCAGCAGCCGCGGUAAUACGGAGGAUCCGAGCGUUAUCCGGAUUUGUUGGGUUUAAAGGGAGCGUAGAUGGGUUGUUAAGUCAGUUGUGAAAGUUUGCGGCGCAACCGUAAAAUUGCAAUUGAUACUGGCAGUCUUGAGUACAGUUGAGGUAGGCGGAAUUCGUGGUGUAGCGGUGAAAUGCUUAGAUAUCACGAAGAACCCCGAUUGCGAAGGCAGCUUACUAAACUGUGACUGACAUUGAUGCUCGAAAGUGUGGGUAUCAAACAGGAUUAGAUACCCGGGUAGUC
rnacentral:rRNA from 1 species